rnacentral:pre_miRNA from 1 species
UGGUGACCUGAGGCUCCCCGGCUGUCACUCUGUCCCAGGCCCGUCCAGGCCACGGGCACAGGCUAAGUCACAGUAGAGUCUGUGGGGUCCUGACCC